UGCCCCUGGCAAUGGGCAAAGAGACACCCUCAUUGGGGUUGCUCUUGUAUUAGACAGGGGCAAAGAAGAUGGUCCUUAUCCUAGCUUGAUUCCUGGCUUGGUGGCCAGAUCUGUUUCAUGCUUGUGGUGGAGGA